UGAAAACUCCCCAAAAAAAUACGACGAUAUAUUACAGCAUCACCACAUUCUUGUACGGCGAGCGGGCAGUUUAGGCAAAUAACCACCACCGGAAACUGGCAGGCAGCUACCGUAGGCAUUUCCGUUAAUUCCAAUCAAAACCAUGGUGUUUUCCGUCAAUUCCAUUCCUCGGAUAAAGUUAACACGCUUAAACUACCAAGCCGGCUACUCUCCCCAUCACGCCGGUGACGGAAUUCACUACGCAUUCCCAAUCAUAUUCCUCCACCUCACCCCUUGCCCAACUUCUCUUCUCCACGUGUCCCCCUACGCUCUCUUUUUCAUAGCCCACCUUCUCCUUCUCCUUCUCC
rnacentral:misc_RNA from 1 species